UUGAACGCUGGCGGCAGGCCUAACACAUGCCAGUCGAGCGGAUGAAGGGAGCUUGCUCCUGGAUUCAGCGGCGGACGGGUGAGUAAUGCCUAGGAAUCUGCCUGGUAGUGGGGGAUAACGUCCGGAAACGGGCGCUAAUACCGCAUACGUCCUGAGGGAGAAAGUGGGGGAUCUUCGGACCUCACGCUAUCAGAUGAGCCUAGGUCGGAUUAGCUAGUUGGUGGGGUAAAGGCCUACCAAGGCGACGAUCCGUAACUGGUCUGAGAGGAUGAUCAGUCACACUGGAACUGAGACACGGUCCAGACUCCUACGGGAGGCAGCAGUGGGGAACAUUGGACAAUGGGCGAAAGCCUGAUCCAGCCAUGCCGCGUGUGUGAAGAAGGUCUUCGGAUUGUAAAGCACUUUAAGUUGGGAGGAAGGGCAGUAAGUUAAUACCUUGCUGUUUUGACGUUACCAACAGAAUAAGCACCGGCUAACUUCGUG
rnacentral:rRNA from 1 species